UACGUAGGGCGCAAGCGUUGUCCGGAAUUAUUGGGCGUAAAGAGCUCGUAGGCGGCCUGUUGCGUCCGCUGUGAAAUCCCGGGGCUUAACCCCGGGCCUGCAGUGGAUACGGGCAGGCUGGAGGCAGGCAGGGGGAGAACGGAAUUCCCGGUGUAGCGGUGAAAUGCGCAGAUAUCGGGAGGAACACCGGUGGCGAAGGCGGUUCCUGCUGGGCCUGUACUGACGCUGAGGAGCGAAAGCGUGGGGAGCGAACAGG
rnacentral:rRNA from 1 species